rnacentral:miRNA from 1 species
CUGGGAGGGGGAUGUUUGCU